AUGGCGAGUGGACACACAACAGCUGCGUCCGUCCGUGGGCCCCGCUUCGCCGGCGCCGGCCGCCGCGGCGCCCUCCUCCUCGCGCUGCUCCUCGCCGCCGCGGCCGCCUUACUCCCAGUAGCCGAGCCUUCCUGCCCCCGAGACAAUUCAGUCGUGAAAGAUAUAAACAAAAUGCACCAGAGCAACUAUGGAAUUGGAGGAUUCUCGCAUAUAACCGUUGCCGGUGCGCUAGCUCACGGCAUGAAGGAGGUGGAGGUGUGGCUCCAAACAAUUAGUGCCGGCCAGAGGACACCUAUCCACAGACACUCGUGUGAGGUCUUUGUUGUCCUCAAAGGGAGAGGCACUCUCUUGCUGGGGUCGACCUCACUGCCGUACCUGGGAACGCCUCAGGAGAUUCCUGUCUUUCAGAAUAGCACAUUCACAGUUCCUAUAAAUGAUCCACACCAGGUUUGGAAUUCUGAUGAACAUGAAGAUUUACAGGUGCUUGUGAUCAUAUCGCGCCCACCUGUGAAGAUAUUUUUGUAUGAAGAUUGGAGUAUGCCUCACACAGCGGCGAAGUUGAAGUUCCCCUUCGUCUGGGAUGAGGACUGCUUAGACGCACCUAAAGAUGAACUGUAG
rnacentral:rRNA from 1 species